GACAGAGUCGUCUUCUCGAUUACCAUAAUUCCCUGUCAAAAAGAUAAGUAACGCACGCGAGAAGCAUUAAGAAGCCGCCAUUAAACUCAACAUUCAUUCUCUGUAAUCUGAGAUCCCACUACAUCUCAUUUACUUCCCCACCACCACCUUCUUUAGUUUCUUUGCAAUCUAUAUCCUAAAAAUAAGCGUUCCAUGAUUCUCACAUAUUCAUCACAGUCAUCCUUUCCAGAGAAGGUCACAAACCUCAGCCAACCAUGGACACCUCUCAGCUAUAACUAAGAGAAUUGAAGCCAGAACGUUGCAGUAAAUCGUAGUCACUGGCCUUCUUCGGUUUUGCAAAGCUCUGAUGUGAAGAAGCGUUGAAGUUAUGGGCGUCAACAUGUUGCUUUUGGAUGAUAAGAGUCUGAAGCAUUUAGGAAAGUGAAGAGUGAUCCAAAUUACACAAAGUCAUGGUAGGUGCAGAGAUCUACCUAGCUUAAAAACAUAGGAAGGGGCACGUUAAAAGUAUGUCUUUCUUUAAUUUUGAAACCUUGGUUAUAUUGACAGAUUAAAAAAUAGGUAGGUAGAUCCUAAUUUGCUUCUCUUACCUAUACAACUCAAUUUGACGGACUUUGAUGGACAUAGGUUUCUAUCACAGUGGACUCACGACAAAAGACACUAAUGAUCUGUGGAUUCAAGCUGACUUUGAUGGGAACAGUCUAAAACAAUUUUAAUUAACAAAGAGUUGGAAAUCAUACCCCGUAUGAACAGAGAAAUGCUGACGACAGAGAAGCAAAUGGUAACCAAGAACAAACGGUUGGUUUCAGUGUCAAGAACACAACAUUUUUUCCUUCUGAAGUGGAGGAAUGAGUGUAGCUAGAAACUUACUCUCUCUCAGAUCAAGCGAGGCUUACAAUUUUAUUCACUCCCAUAAGAAUGCCUUGCUCCGGUGCUCCCAAUUGGUUUCAUGACAAAACCCUGUAACAACAAACCUUUCUCUCCUUUAGGUUUAUGUCCCCCCCCCCCCCCCUCCUCAUAUUAUAGGUUAGUAUCAACGCUUUGCCUCCAUAGGCCAAAAAAAAUACUGCCAACACCCUGGUUGCUCUCCCCGUUGUGGUUUGUGCGUUGGGUGAAGAAGAGAGAAAAGGAUAUUACACGCUGGUCUUAAUCUUAUACAUUAUACUCUGUUCAAAUACUCUGUUCGAAUAUGUUAAUCAAAUGU